CCUACGGGAUGCAGCAGUCGAGAAUCAUUCACAAUGGGGGAAACCCUGAUGGUGCGACGCCGCGUGGGGGAAUGAAGGUCUUCGGAUUGUAAACCCCUGUCAUGUGGGAGCAAAUUAAAAAGAUAGUACCACAAGAGGAAGAGACGGCUAACUCUGUGCCAGCAGCCGCGGUAAUACAGAGGUCUCAAGCGUUGUUCGGAAUCACUGGGCGUAAAGCGUGCGUAGGCUGUUUCGUAAGUCGUGUGUGAAAGGCGCGGGCUCAACCCGCGGACGGCACAUGAUACUGCGAGACUAGAGUAGUGGAGGGGGAACCGGAAUUCUCGGUGUAGCAGUGAAAUGCGUAGAUAUCGGGAGGAACACUCGUGGCGAAGGCGGGUUCCUGGACAUUAACUGACGCUGAGGCACGAAGGCCAGGGGAGCGAAAGGGAUUAGAUACCCCAGUAGUC
rnacentral:rRNA from 1 species